GACGAACGCUGGCGGCGUGCCUAAUACAUGCAAGUCGAGCGAAGUUUUUCUGGUGCUUGCACUAGAAAAACUUAGCGGCGAACGGGUGAGUAACACGUAAAGAACCUGCCUCAUAGACUGGGACAACUAUUGGAAACGAUAGCUAAUACCGGAUAACAGCAUUAACUGCAUGGUUGAUGUUUAAAAGUUGGUUUUGCUAACACUAUGAGAUGGCUUUGCGGUGCAUUAGCUAGUUGGUGGGGUAAAGGCCUACCAAGGCGACGAUGCAUAGCCGACCUGAGAGGGUGAUCGGCCACACUGGGACUGAGACACGGCCCAGACUCCUACGGGAGGCAGCAGUAGGGAAUCUUCCGCAAUGGCCGAAAGCCUGACGGAGCAACGCCGCGUGAGUGAAGAAGGAUUUCGGUUCGUAAAGCUCUGUUGUUAGGGAAGAAUGAUUGUGUAGUAACUAUACACAGUAGAGACGGUAC
rnacentral:rRNA from 1 species